AGUGAACGCUGGCGGUAGGCCUAACACAUGCAAGUCGAACGGCAGCACAGUAAGAGCUUGCUCUUACGGGUGGCGAGUGGCGGACGGGUGAGGAAUACAUCGGAAUCUACUUUUUCGUGGGGGAUAACGUAGGGAAACUUACGCUAAUACCGCAUACGACCUACUGGUGAAAGCAGGGGAUCUUCGGACCUUGCGCGAUUGAAUGAGCCGAUGUCGGAUUAGCUAGUUGGCGGGGUAAAGGCCCACCAAGGCGACGAUCCGUAGCUGGUCUGAGAGGAUGAUCAGCCACACGGGAACUGAGACACGGUCCAGACUCCUACGGGAGGCAGCAGUGGGGAAUAUUGGACAAUGGGCGCAAGCCUGAUCCAGCCAUACCGCGUGGGUGAAGAAGGCCUUCGGGUUGUAAAGCCCUUUUGUUGGGAAAGAAAAGCAGCAGGUUAAUACCCCGCUGUUCUGACGGUACACAAAGAAUAAGCACCGGCUAACUUCGUG
rnacentral:rRNA from 1 species